UGCCAAGCAACUGUCCAAAUGAGCAGCAUUUCCAUGGAGAUUUGUAAAACUCCAGUUAAAGUGGGAAAACAGCUCUAGCAGGGGGAUGGAUUGGAGGGUUUUAUUGGAAUGUGUUGUUGCACUGGUGGGUGAGGUUGGUGCCUAAAGUGCUGUUGUCCUGCAGGGUGUCCAGGACCUCCUUACCCAGGGCUGUGUCUGUGAGCACUCGGGGUGCUCACUUGCAGGAAGAAUGGUAAAAAUAAUUCCUUUUCAUUUCAGCACAUUUGGUGAGUACUCACAAGUGGCCCUCAGUGCUCUGAGGACAUUUCCCUCCCAUCUCUGGUAAAAUGUAACGUGGGCUGCAGCAGCCAGGACAAUGAAGCCCUUCCUCAACUCUUGUUGCUGAAACUGCCUUGUGAUAAAGACUCCAGCUGCCACAUGAUGCCAGUUACAGCAGAUCUAAGUUAACUACAUUUCAUGGGUCAGACUGGUAGUAGGCAAUUCUCCAAUAAACAUGCCUUAUUUUAAAAA